rnacentral:misc_RNA from 1 species
UGAAGAUAUAACAGCAGAUGUAAGUGCUGAAAAGGUAUCUCAUCAUUAUGGAUCUGAUAGGGUUAAUUCACGAAGUAAAGAUUCUUCCCCUGGUGUCCAAAAGCAUUUGUCAGAGGAAGAUGCAAAGGCAAGUUCUAAAAAGAAAGAAGAAAAUACUUACAUGAAGGGUGACUAUGUAGCUAAAAGCAAAGAUAGAAAAAUUCGGGAUUCAGAAACCAAAUCAAAUGCCAAAAUGGACAAAGAUCAGAAAGUUAAAGGCAAGAAUGAUGAAAAAAUUUAUGACAGGAGAAAAAGAAAUGAGCAGCGAAGCAAUAAUGCAGAAAAUGAAGCUUCAAAGAAACAUUCAAGAGAAUUAACUGUGAGAGAUAGACAUGUGGAUGAAAGUAGAGGAAAUUUUGAGAGAGAAAACAAGAGAAAAUACGGAAAUGGAGUUUAUGAGCAAAACAGAGAUAGGUAUUCCACAAGAAAACUUGAUCCUGGAAAAAGGCAUGAUUCAGAAG